rnacentral:rRNA from 1 species
AACGAACGCUGGCGGCAUGCCUAACACAUGCAAGUCGAACGAGACCUUCGGGUCUAGUGGCGCACGGGUGCGUAACGCGUGGGAAUCUGCCCUUGGGUUCGGAAUAACAGUUAGAAAUGACUGCUAAUACCGGAUAAUGUCUUCGGACCAAAGAUUUAUCGCCCAGGGAUGAGCCCGCGUAGGAUUAGCUAGUUGGUGAGGUAAAGGCUCACCAAGGCGACGAUCCUUAGCUGGUCUGAGAGGAUGAUCAGCCACACUGGGACUGAGACACGGCCCAGACUCCUACGGGAGGCAGCAGUGGGGAAUAUUGGGACAAUGGGCGAAAGCCUGAUCCAGCAAUGCCGCGUGAGUGAUGAAGGCCUUAGGGUUGUAAAGCUCUUUUACCCGGGAUGAUAAUGACAGUACCGGGAGAAUAAGCCCCGGCUAACUCCGUGCCAGCAGCCGCGGUAA